rnacentral:piRNA from 1 species
UGUCAUGCUGAUCUCAGUGUUUCCCAAAAG